rnacentral:rRNA from 1 species
GGGCCCGCACAAGCGGAGGAACAUGUGGUUUAAUUCGAUGAUACGCGAGGAACCUUACCUGGGCUUAAAUGCAGAACGACGAUUCGGGAAACCGAUUCUCCCUUCGGGGCGGACUGCAAGGUGCUGCAUGGUUGUCGUCAGCUCGUGCCGUGAGGUGUCGGGUUAAGUCCCAUAACGAGCGCAACCCUUAUCGUUAGUUGCCAGCGGGUAAUGCCGGGGACUCUAACGAAACUGCCGGUGUAAACCGUGAGGAAGGUGGGGAUGACGUCAAAUCAGCACGGCCCUUAUGUCCAGGGCUACACACGUGUUACAAUGGUCGGUACAGAGGGCAGCUACCAUGUGAAUGGAUGCUAAUCUCGAAAGCCGGUCUUAGUUCGGAUCGAAGUCUGCAACUCGACUUCGUGAAGCUGGAUUCGCUAGUAAUCGCACAUCAGCCAUGGCGCGGUGAAUACGUUCCCGGGCCUU